UGUGUGGAUGAGUGGUGAGGUGAGUGAUGCCAUUUGUGGAAAAGAAAAUGUUUGAGUUUAACAUAUUCUCCUCCUCCGUCAGAGUAGAAGGUGAUUAUUUUGGUGUGGAAGUAGUUUUCUACAAGAGCUUUAAAGGUUGUGAAGAUUGAGAAAACAUCGGAUUUGUGUUUCAUGGGAUAAAACCAAAUAUAUUUCGUGAAAUGAUCGACAAAGAUAACAUAGUAUGAAAAACCAUCAGUAGAUAAAUAGGAGGAGCAGGGACUUAUACAUACAUCACUAUAAAUUAGUUCAAGGGGACGCUUACUAACAAGCGUAGAAUGACCAAACGGGAGCUUGUGGCUCUUAUUGCAAUGACAAGAAGUGCAAAGGAGUUGAAGACAUAGGAAUUGAGGAGGUACGUUGGAUUUGAAGAUAGGUUCGAUGGUUGGGGUGACCAAGCCUACGGUGCCACACAUUGGAGGAGUCCAUCACACUACUCAUAACUUGUUUUUGAGGCAUCAAGCACGGCCACUCAUAUGUAUCGUUCUUAUUCGGGCCUCGAAGAAGUGCCGCUCCCAUGUUGAGAUCCUUGACAAGAAAGGAAUCAGGAAAAAAUUCAAUAGAGGUGGCAUUUUGUCUAUUAAAUUUGGCAAUGGAAAUAAUAUUACGGGAAAUGGAAGGAACACAAAGGACACCAUUUAAGUGAAAUGGGGUGGUAGAGGAAGAAGAGAGUGAUGUGGAACCAACAUGUGUAAUACUUAAACCUGUUCCAUUACCAAAUAACAAUUUGAUCAGGACCAUCAUAGGUAGUGGAGUCCGGAUGUUCCUGGAGUCAGAAGUAAGACAUGGUGAGAGCACUCGAGUCGAGCAGCCAAGCAGCCAAGGAGAUGAUGUUGAGGGGCGGAUAGUGGUGUGGUUGACCAUGGGUGGAGCGGAAGAAAGUUGAGGGCAACGUUUUGCACUAUAUGCCCUUGAGUACCACACCAAUGACACAAAACCACGAUACCCCGUAUAGAGAACGAUGAUGAUUGGAGUUUGUGGUGGUUAGCACGGUUAGAGUUGUAGGUGGUAUUUGUUGGACGCUGCUGGGAGGCUUGUGUGGCCCUGAAGUCACGCUAGAAGGAGCGGGGAGCUUAAGCAACAAGGGCAGUCAUAGGAGUAACAGCAGCUGGUGGUGCAUCUCGUUGGAGGAAAGUUUCAUGUUCAAUGAGUUUGUCAUACCGAUUUUCAAAAGAGAUGGAGGUAUCGCUAGCUCGAACAACGACAACGAUUUCUUUGAAGGCAGGUCCAACACCAUUGAGGACGUGUAGAACAACAUCAUCGUCGGAGAGUGGAGAAUCAAUGAUGGCAAGCUCAUCAAUGAUAACUUUGAUAGCUUGUAGAAAAACUGACACAGGUUGUGUAUCGCGACGCAUGAGCGUAAGACGCUCUUUGAGGUUGAGAACCCGAGAGCGUGUUUUGUUGGCGUAGAGCUUGGUGAGCUUGUCCCAAGCCUCCUUAGAUGUUUUAGAGAAGGAAAUGAGAUAUAUAAUCUGUUCAGAGACAGAAGCUAAGAUAGCAUGUAGUAGCAGCUGAUCUUGACGAAUCCAGAAGGUGUAGCACACAGUAGAGGAGGCAGCAGGACGUGGUUUUGAUCCAUCAAUGUAACCCAUCAGGUCAUACCCAAGAAGCAGGGCAUUGAAUUGAGCUCGCCAUGAAGGAAAGUUGGUGGGUGUGAGUUUUAGAGGUAACUGAGCAGCAGCGUUAAUGGUGAUAGGGGUGGGCAAGGGGGGUGAGUUGGUGGAUUCAGCCAUGAGGAUCGGAAAAAAAAUUGCUCGAUGGAGCUUUGUUGCUCUUGAUACCAAAUUAAGGUGAGUAUAAAAUGUAUAUUGUAUUUCUAUAUUAUGAUUUACAAUAGAGAUGCUCCUUAUAGGAGCCAAAGGAGCGGGCAACAACUAAUGGAAAUAGUAAAGAAAGACUAAUGGACAAUUAGUGGACUAGACAAAAUUAUGAAAGGCAUGUCUAAUGGAAGUACUCGUGAAAGGCUAGUAGACAAGCAAUCAAUUUGUUGAGAAGAAGAUUCCCUUUUAGUUCACCAGUUGCAUCAAUAUCCCAUCUGCAAAUAAUUAAUUACAUGCGUUAAUGUCAGCGCAAGUGACUAUGAAUUAGACCGCUGAUAGUCAUGCAUGAUUCAAAUUCACAAUCUAGCAACAUAUUCACAUUUUAUUUGCACACUAGUGUAACAUGUAGGAUAUCAUAAAACCACACAAGUACACGAACCUCUCAACUGCAGCUGUGAAGAGAAUGAGUUCAUCGAGGGUGCCCUGAACAUCAAAAAUAUCGUCAAUUAUGUAGACAAGAGAGAUCGAUUUUGUGAGUUCAACCCUUUCCUCUGAUAAGCUUGGAUCUGCUAGGCAUGCCAUCGGCCACGUAUACCAUUUAAUUGGCUGGUCUCUCACGAACUUCAACUCCUUAGUCAAGCCUAGUUCUUUCCACCACCUAAUUAUUACGAUGAAAAAUAUUUUCAUUAAUUAAAAAGGAGUACUAACUUAAAAUCAGUGUCUAGUGUCUUUGGAUCUGAACUCACUUGGAUACUUGUUGAACUUCAUUUCGGAUUAGAGAUUCAACCAUGUUGAACUCUAGUUUUGCUAGCUCCCGCAAAACAUUGACCCAUUUCUCCUUCCCUUCGAAAUUAUUUAAGUAGUUCUUAGCCAUGAAUCUUGUCAAGCUCUUGUGAUAAGGAUGCUCUAAUGAGUACGCGAAGGAUGAAGCUUGAUGAUCAUCGAGGUUGUUUUUCAUCCAAUCCGUGAGAAGCUGGUGGCUUCGCCUUCCAGCUUCAUCAAGUGACUCUUCUCCUGGGAAGCUCAAAUGAGAUGCUUCAUAUAAUCCUACUAAUCCGCUUAUGUCGACUUCCUUGUUGUUCUUGAACUUAUUAAAUAUUGCAUCUGUUAAUCACAAGGAAAAUUAAUUACUUUGUAGUAAUGGUGACAUUAGCUUUCAGAGUAAUGUUAGACAGACCAAAUUUUUCAACCAAAUUUGACAUUUGUAUCAACAAACAAACAAAUAAAUGUUCACUUGGUCGUUUUAAUAAAAUAACAUUUUGCAGUAAAGUUAGGACAAAAAGAGAAUUGAGACCAACCUGUGGUUACAUGAUAACCUUGUUGUCUCAGUAGUCGAAAACGAAGUGAAACCACACCAAGUUCAUCACUGCCUUCAUCACCAUAAGCUCUCGUGCAUUGCUUUUUUUAAAUUGCUUCAAUCUCCUCUUGGAAAUGAUAGUCAACGCCUAGGCGUUGCAUGGCGUCAACCGCAAUCAAUUGUUCAUCUUCUCCGAUGUUUGCGAGUGCAUCCUUCAAUUCCUUCAAUUUCUUUGCAUAGCGAACCUGAAGGUCGCCCUAAAAGGGGAAACAUUGAACUUAGCAUGAUAAGCAAACACUAGGCUGAAAUUACAUAGUAAAAAAAUAAAGGUGAAUUGUCAAUUUAGUUUCCGAAUUAUCAUCUGAGUGAAAAUAAGUUCCUAUACUAUUUUUUCAGUCUGUGAAUUAUAAAAAUCUGCUAAUUACAUUCUUAAUAUUAGAUACGAAGCUACUAUAUUCAAUUUUCUGUCAAUUUAAGUCACGUUACUUGCAUGUGAUUCACAUUGGAAGGUAGAUUGAUAUUUUUUCAAAAGACAGUGUAUAGAGUUAACUUAGGAGGGUAAAUUAGACGUUACAUUCGCAACCUAUAUGAAAUGUUAAAGGCUUAUAAGCGAGAAAAUGAUAGUAUUAUACUCUAAAGUAACAAGUGACUUAAGUUGACGAAAAAUUGGAUAAAAUAGCUUUGAAUAUAAUAGUAUGAAUGAUAUUAGCAAUUUUUUAUCAAUUUAGGUACUUAUUUUACUGAAAAAAUAAUUCUAGGACCUAAUUUUCUUUAAGGUGAUAUUUUAAGGACUAAAUCGGCACUUUAUUCUAAAAGAAAAAGAGAGAGAAGAUAGUGUGUGGAGUAAUUAAGUAACCAAGUAGUGUUAGUUUUGGUACAUGAGUAGUGGAUUUGUGGAGCAAUUUGGACACUAAUGUGUAUAUAAAAUAUAUAUAUAUAUAUAUAUAUAUAUAUAUAUCUAUAUGUUGGGUUAUUAUUUUUGGAACUUACAAUAACUUGUCCCUUGGAGGAAGCAGAGUGAGCUUGAAGGAAGUGUGCCAUUUUCUACAAGAAAGAAAUUAAGAAAUUCCAGUUUUGGAUGAGAGAAAAUACUUGUUGGGAAUGAAGUGAGGUGAUCAGCUCAUGGUGAUUCCUAGUGAAUUUAUAGGGCAAUGUCUCUUGGCAUCCAAUGCAAUGGAGCAUGCGGAGCAGUGGCGGAGCCACAUGGAGACUAGGGUAGUCCAGGGCCUAUCCUGGAAAUAAAUUUAUAGCGAUUAUGUAGUAAAUUUUGCAGUAAUGUGCAAGUGGUGUGUUGGUAUGUUAGGUUUUAAUGGUUUCAUUAGGUCUUGGGGUCGAUGCUUGCUGACGAAAAGCUAUUUUUUGGUAUUUUUUACCAAUUAUCAUAUAUAACUAACCUUCUGCUAACAUUCUGAUUUCUUUUAACCAAUUAUUUUUGUGUUAGUUCAUAUAAAACAAGGUAUAUAUAUUCGGGAGGAAGAUUAAAUGAUAUUAAAAAAAAAGUAUCGUAAUAAUAGCUUAUUUUUUUGUUAGUUCAUAUAAAAUAAGGUAUAUAUAUUCAAGAGAACGAUUCAAUAAUAUUAAAAGAAAAAUAUUGUAAUAAUAGAUUGAGCUAGUUAUAACAUUAUUAUUAAUGUUGCGUUAGAUGUCAACACAUGUUCUAUUUACUAUGACAUCUCUCAAUACUAAUUUUUUCAUACAAAUUUUAAAGCUCCAUCACUCUUGUUUGAUUCAAAUUUUCCAUGAUAUUACUAUUUUUUUUUCUAAUUUCUUUCAUUAGUUUAAAGGCCUUUGUGGCAUGAAUUUCUGGCUCCGCCACUGAUGCGGAACGUUUUGCACACUUUAGUGGUGGGAUCAAUGUGCACGAUGAUGAAGUUGAGUACUUGAGCUCGAUUGAUGCAUAUUUUUGUCUUAACAGUACACAACGUUUUGCACCCUUUAUUGUUGGAGAAAUAAGAUAGUUGAAUUCGUCAGGGACUUGAUAUUAACAAUGCAAAAUUUUAUUCUACACUUCUUAUAAGUGUAUUUUUCUUUUUAAUUAUAGAAAGUUUAGAGUGCAAAAUAAGAUUUUUAAAGUGCCAAUAACAAUCUCAUUUUCUAUAUGCUAAAACUCGGUUCAAAAAACAUUGUUCACCAACCGUAAAAUGACAAAUGGCCCUCCACUAGCUCUCCAUUCCUCGUUCUUUUUCCUCCUUAGCAUAGUGGAAUGACGCCUUUGUCCACACUGCCCACGUGUCGAUCAUCAUCCAAUGCUCUGCUUCGACUACAUCUUCUCGACUCUUCAUUCCAAUUUCACUUCUUCGUGUCUAUUUUUUGACAUUUUCUGUAGCAUUUAGCCAACAACCCAAGUUAUAUGCUUAACUAUUGUAGCUCCCAUUUUUAACCGUACUUAGGGGAGGGGGCUCAUCAGAUUUUGGUGGGCAACAAUGCAUCUAACCUCCUUGACCGUCCCUAAAAUUCCAUUUCAAUCUCACUUUUAUCCUUUGAAACUCAAAUUUCGCCUAUUCCUUUUCAAAAGAGUAGCAAAAAAUAAGCAUAGAAAUGUUAAGACUUCACUGAACUCUUCUCCUUCUAGCAGACGAUAGCCACAUAAAACCAAAACCUAUCCACACCAACAAUCCUUAGAUAUACACAUAAGCACAUGAAAUUAACUGUAAUUUUACAUAUUUAAGCUAUUUAAAGCUGUUGGGACAUUAUUUCAGAAAAAAAUGGCCAGUGGAUGAAGAUUGAAGAAGCCUCCUCUUCUUUUCUUUUUUUCCUUUUUUUUCAAUAUAUGUGGCACCAUUUGGUUGGAUGCGUUGAUCUUAUACUUAUGUCUUAGUAAACUUAACGAAUAUGUAACAAACAAGAUAAAAAUCAAGCAAAAAUGGAACGAAAAUUUAGUUCCAAGGUAUUAAAUAGAAAAUUUUGAAUUCAAUGGGAAAAUAAGAUUAAAAUCAAGUUUGAGGAGGCAUAGGAAAAAUAAAAAUGUUGCUGUUUCAUUUAAAACUCAGUCAAUAGUUAAUACAGUUACACAUCAAUGGUAGGGAUGAGCAUUGGACAAACAUAGUGGGAUUGGAGUUGGGCAAUCCAUGUCCAUUAAACAUAAGGAAAACUAAUGAAAAGAGCUUGAAAACUUUGAGUUUUAAUGAUAAAGACAAAAUAAAGGGUAAAGUGAAUAGUACCAGGAUUGACUUUUUAGUGUAAAAAUGUGGUUUUUCGUUAAAGUGAACAGUUUCAUGAGUUUUUCGUUAAAGUUCUCUUAAACAAAUGAUGAAUGGGGACCAUUACCCAAAAAAAUCCAUUUAUACAUUUAAUGGAGACCCGUAGUCCUUCCUACACAACCCAUUCCCACCGAGAGAAGAUGAGCGAGACAGACCACAAAUGCUACUCAAAAGUAUGAUCUCUUGCCUUACAUUUUAACGUUAAUUUUCGUGUUAUAAUUAUAAAACGUUAUCCCAACAUUAUAAAACAUUUGUCUCACUUUUAAGACCAAAUCUAACCCUGGGCUAAAUGCUAUUUUGUAGGUUUUAUUCCCCCCCCCCCCUCAAACCCAACCCAACUCAUGUAAAUGUGUGGGCUAAAAGCUAAAUGCCAAAUUCCCCCUAGGAUUUAGCCCAUAAAAUGGUGUGGGCACCACCAGAGGGACCCCACCUACAUGGGCAUGUCUCACAGGAUUUAAUGAAUCCAACGGCUGAGAUCGAAUAUAAUCAAAUUUAACUGUAAAAAAAAAAAUCUAACGGCCCAAAUUUAAAUCUAACGGUUAAAAUAAUUAAAAAAAAUUAUUUAACUCAAAAUUCACCCAAAUUUAGUGGUUUUUCAAUAUUUAUCAGAAUUUAAAUAUUUUUAUGUUAAAAUGUUAAUAAAAUUAAAAUUAUGAUAGUGUACAUAAUUUAAUUUUUUUUUUAAAUUACUUUAAAAGAAGAACAACAACCCAAAACGCUAACUUUGUGGAACUUUCAUUGUUUUUGUUAACAUUGAUUACGACCCCCGAGACUGAAAGCUAAAUUGGUAUUAAUUCCACUCCAUGCAUCUUGCUUUUUCACCUACAUACACAGCUAAGAGCACUUCUAAAAGAGAUGUCAAAAUAUAAAUGUUAAAUGUUAAUUUGAUGGCUGACGUGGCAAUGUUAGAUUUUCUCUUUUUCCAACUGAUAUGUUUCUUUAUUAUAAAUGAUAUCUGUAGGAUUCAUUUUAAAAAUAAAUCAAUUAAAAUACAUUUUCAAAAUCUAUAAUUGAUGCAUUAAUAAGCCUCACACAGUAAAAUAAUUAAAAAAAAUUUGACAUCAAAGUCAUUACAAAUUGUACCAUCUCAAUCAUAAACGGCAUCCCUUCUGCACAACAUGGUAAAGUUUUUUCACGUUCCUUGUCACAUUAGUCCAUAAAACAACAAAGGAUCUUUAAUCCCAGUUUUACCGACCAAGCGAAAACAAUCCUUAUCCAAAGGAUUGCAUGGGAUCUUCAUUUGAACUUUAGCAGCCUAUCUUCGAUCCUAAUGCAAUAAUACCAUGACAAAAUCACAAUAAUAAAAAAAAAAAGGUCGUACCCAGUGCACAAUAAUAAUCACUGAAAAUCUAACGUGUAAAACCGGAAUCCUUUCUUCAUCCAACAAGCCUUAAUUAUAUCGGGCGAUAGUGUUAAAUCGAGUCUAAACAAUUAGAGAUUAAACCAUGCUGAACUCUAGUUUUGUCAAGCUCUUGUGAUAGGGAUGCUCCAAUGCAUAUGCGACUGCUGAAGCUUGAUGUGUUAGUGUUGAAGAACAAUGUUUGAGUUAUAAUUUUAGUCUUGAAAAGGCUCAAGAGUUAAAGAAUAUGUGGAACAAACAAUAACAAUACUUUAAUGUGAAACGGAAAGUCCAAUUUUUGUUACAGAACUUAAAAUAUGUUUUUAGAUGUAUAAACGACCUUGGUUAGGGAUUGGUUUAAUUAAAAACAUGUAUAAUUAUAUGUUUACUGUAAUAAUCUUGAUCGUUAAAUUUAGUCAAUGGACGAGAUUACUGAGAGGAACAAGAGGCAUGUUCAACAACUAUUCAUAUAUGUGUUGUCACAUUACAUUUUCUACUGCUAAAUAACCUAGUCCAAUAUGCUCAACGGGUACAUUUUCUUUUUGGGCUACGGUCAAGACUCAAGCCCAUAUCCAAAGAGUUCGAGUUGUAUUUUUUACAUUACGUAUUUUAAUAGAAAUUGUGAGAAAUUUUACUUUUUAAUUAUUAAUUUUUUAGCAUGCAUAUUCCAUCGCACUGAAAAAUCUCUGGUCUCAGAAGAUGUCGUUAAGUUCUCCAGCGCUCCUUCUGCACCGCCACCCAAUCUAACGUCACCAACGGCAGGAGCAUUGGCGCCAUCUCCACCGACCUCUACAAAGAGCGCAACCUCAAACGCCUCUCAGAAGUUGUCAAUUGAACCAGAUGUGAUGUCGUAUAAUACUAUGAUCGAGGCAUUUUGUGAAAUGGGUUCGUUGGAUCGGUGGUUUCGAUGGGAUGGAGAAGAAGGGUGUUGAGUCGGAUAUAAUCAUGUUCAACACGAUCAUGAAUGGGUUGUUUGCGAAUGAUCAGUUUUUGGCAGCCGAGAAGCUGUGGAGUUGAAUGAAGAAUGUUGUCCCUGAUGUUAGGAGCUACAAUGCCAGGUUGUUGGGAUUGGCUUCGGAGAAGAAAACUGACGAGGCGGUUGAAUUGUUCGAGGAAAUGCGGAACAAGGAAGUAAAACCUGAUGUGUUAAGCUUCAAUGCCAUGAUCAAGGGAUUUGUUAAUGAGGGUAAAUUGGAAGAAGCUAAACAGUGGUAUCGUGAACUGGUGAAGCGUAGUUGUGCUCUGCAGAAAUGAACUUUCCAGGCUCUUGUUCCUUUUGUUUGCGAGAGGGGUGAUUUGGACUUUGCCUUUGAACUCGGCGACAAAAUUUUCAAAGGGCGUCUCCUUGUGGAUGUGGAGUUACUGCAGACUCUGGUGGAUGGGAUAGCUAACGCUUCCCGGAUCAAUGACGCAAAGAAGAUUGUGAGGCUUGGGAACACAAAUACAUACCUGCGUUACAAUUUGCAGUUGCCUUCAGAGGAAUAAUGUAUUUCUGUUGUUGUUUGUUUCUGUUUGCAUGUCGAAAUGUUUGUGCUUUUAUUGCUAGACACUUCUAAUUUAUAUAGUUAAAUUUGUGCAAGCUUCAAACAUUCCUUCAAUUUCAGUGUUGAAUAGUUAUUAUUACACAGAUUUUCAUACAGCAUGGAUUUCAUAUACGCCUCAAGAGGUGGAAGGUGUUGGUCAUCAUCGUAGCGACACAUUAACAGGACCAAUUCUUUGUUUAACUGCUUCCAUUCUUCUUAAAUCAUAUUUACAGCAUUUUCUUGUGUUUCCUCCAUUGAAGAACCUAGAUUUUCAUCUAAGUAGCGUCGUAUGUAUGACCCCUCGUGCCGAUCCUGAUUCUCAUCCUUCAGUCAAGCUAUGCACAUUUUGAGAGAUAUGAACAAGAUGUUUACUCUAUGUAACGUGUUUGAUUUGAAUCUAAUUAUAUAUAAUCACCUCGGCGCUUCCCAAAUCUUCCUAAAGCCGAAGAAUUGCUGCUGUGGAAGAUGCAAUUUCUAGAGUUCUAUUCAACGGCUCCACACUUUCUUUGGUUAUACUUUGACCCAAGAGAAAGAAUCUAUGCACCAUCAUCGCAUUAACCCCAGAAGAAGGGUUAAUCUCAGUUUAUUACCCUGAAAUUUCUUAGUUUUCAACUUUUGGUACAUAAAUUUUUUUUUUCAUUGUAGUCUGAUACCUAAAGUCAUAAUUCUGGGACAUUUUCAUACAUCCGUUAAGUUUUCUGUCAGGACCUCAAUUAAUUGAUGAUGUGUCGCCCACUUGGACAAUGAUUGAGCGCCACGUUUCAAUAUGGGCCUAUGUGAAUAUUAAAAAAAUUAAAGUUUUUUCUUUCUUUUCUAGGCAUCCUACUUCCCUCGGACCCUCUCCCCUCAUUCUCCCUCCAUUCUUUGCACCCACCCUCCCUGCACACCCACUAUCUGCCCUGCUCCUCUUCCACCUAUCUAGGUAUGACAUAGGCCUUGCCGCCGCACAAAUGGGUCGGCGUUAUCGAAGGUCAGCCGCAGGUGGCGGUGGAUCAACGAAGUCAAUAGCGGAUCGGCGUUUAGGAGAUAGCGAAUCGCAGUCUCGAUUGCUGAACUAUCUUAAUCUUGGAGGCCAUGGUGACGGUGAAGGGUUUGGGGGAUUCAAAUACGGCAACUAUCUGAUGGGAGGAAUUGGGUGAAGAGGGUGGAGGAGAGAGAAGAGAGGGGAGGUGAAAAGGGUGGGGGUGGGUACCGUAUAGAGGUUGGGUGGGUGCAGAGGAGAGAAGGGAGGGAGCAAGGUAGAUGUGUGGGUGUGCAAGGAGGUGGGUGUAGGGAAAAGAAGGGAGGGAGAAUGAGGGAGGGUGUAAUAUCCCACAUCGCCGGAAGAGGGGAGGUGAUGUGCCUAAUAUGUAUAUGUCCACCUCCCUACAGUAAGACGCAUUUUGGGUGGAAGCCCAAGAACAAAAUCGUGAGGGCAUAGCCCAAAGCGGACAAUAUCUUACUUUGCGGACUGGGAUGUGACAAUUUGGUAUUAGAGUCACUGCCCAGCCGAAAGUGUGCCGACAAGGGCGUCGAGCCCCUAAAGGGGUGGAUUGUAAGAUCCCACAUCAUCCGAAGGAGGGAAGGUGAUGUGCUUUAUAUGUACAUGCCCACCUCCCUAUAGAAAGACGUGUUUUGGGUGGAAGCCCAAGAACAAAACUGUGAGGGCAUGGCCUAAAGCGGACAAUAUCUUACCAUGCGGACUCGUGAGGGCGUGGCUCAAAGCGGACAAUAUCUUACCGUGUGGACUAGGAUGUAACAAAGCGAGGCGGGAAGGGUGAGGCAGGAUGCCCAGAAAAGAUUUUUUUUUUAAAUUUCCAUGUGGACCCAUAUUGACACGUGGCAUCCAGUCAUUGUCCACGUAAGUGCCACUUCAUCAAUUAACUAAUGUUCUGACGGAAAACUUAACGGAUGUAUGAAAGUGUUCCAGAAUUAUGACUUUAAGUACCAAACUGGGACAAAAAAAACUUUAUGUAUCAAAGGUUGAAAAUCAAGAAAUUUUAGGGUAGUAAACUAAGAUUAACCCCCUAGAAGAAACAAUACCAUUCUUUAAGUAGUCUUCCGCCUUCGGCAAGUGCCCGGAUUUGAACCGUUUUGCUUCUGCUAAAAUGCAUUGCACAGAAUCCUCCACUGCACGUGAUAGUAGAAUUAACUAUCUGUUAAGCCUUCUCUUGAACAAACUAGUAAUUAAAUUUCAUGACACUAACCGGUUUAAUAUAUUACCUUCUUAAACGAAUGUAAUGGGUACCACCCAUGCUUUUGAUAGAAUUUGCAGCUGAUUUCAUUCGUCAUAUUGUAAAGAGACUUGAAAUAUAUGUUCAUGUAGUCCGGUUUAAGUGCUCUAUAGCACCAAUUUCGCAUCUGCAGCGUAACAUUUACUGAUCAAUUCACGGUGAAAACUGGUGAAGCCAAUUAAGAAAGUACAGGACAUUUUAUUGUUUACAUAUUGACAGCCUCAGUGAAGAGAGUAAGUUCAUCAAGCGUCUCGUACAUCGAAAAUGUCAUCAAUAAAUGGUUUUGUGAACUGAAUCCUCUCCUCUUACAGGUUAGGAUCUGUUGAGCGCAAACUACAGUUCCCUAGGCAGUCCCAUCUCUUUCCAUCACCUAAUUAUUUUGUUGGAUGAAAUAAACAGACAAAUUAGGAUUUCUAUAGUGCAGUUAACCGUAUUGUUUACAUGCGGAUAUAUUCUUGAUAUUGAUGAUAUUGUUGGUACUUCGACCUUGUAGAUAUGUGUACAACAUGGUUGGCGAUAAAUUGGACAACAUUUUUAAGAAGUGCUGUUAAAUGCACGAUGUCAGUUAAUUUUGGAAAUUUGAAUAUCUACUUCUGAUGUAUGGACUGAACCAAAUUAAAAUCCGUUUUGCCACAUCCUGUAGCAUAUUUAGCCAUCUAUUGUUCAUGCCAGCUUGGGAAUUAGUAACAAAAAAGUGGCCAUGAAUGUGGCCAAGCUUUUGUGAUGGGGGUACUCCAGUGUGUUCCCCACAACUCUGGCCUAAUGAGGACCAGGAUAGGACAAUGAUCUAUUUACGAGAUCACUACUCAAUUUUCCAGCUUCAUCAAGUGCAUCUUCUCCUUCCCUGCUUAGCUGUAAAGCUUCGUACACACUCAUCAAUCCCUUGACCUCUUAACUAAUUAACGUUUUCUUAAAAUGCUUCCUUCGCUUUCCUUCAAGUUGUUGACACAUCUAUUAAUAACAAAAGUUAUAAUUGGGAGUGAUUGACUGAUACUGAAUAUCAAUCUGCAAUACUAAGUAAAUAUAAGAACAAAUUGUUACCGAAAUUUUAGUUAUACUCACCCUCGGACACGAAGUGACCAUGUGGCCAUAACAGAAGGGCAACUUCAUGAAGGUCAUUUUGUUGAUGAGAAAGGCCAGGAGCUGAUAGAUAUGAUUAGGUCAAUUUGUUCUUCGAUAGUGGUAAUCUAUACCUAGACGUUGAACAACAUCGAUCAUGUUCAAACUUUCGAGCGCGCCUUCUACUCCUACUUUGCUCAAUACAUUCCUGAAUGCCUCCAACUUUUAUUCAUGUCAGAAACGGCAUGUCAUCCUGCAAGCAAAGUGGAGUUAUUUGAAGAGUGGACAUAGGUUUGGAUAUAAAUAGCUGAAUGAGAUCAGAGUGCCCAAGAAGUAGGAUCUUUUUUUGAGCAAUAUUUGGAGUGGAGAUAGCAAAGAUGGCCUGAGAAGAAAAUGCCAUAGAGGGAAGAGUACAAGGUAUGUACCUCGUUUAACAAGUGUUUAAAUUUGUUGGCAUUCUUCGGCACAUGUAUCUAACCAGGGCCGGAGCCAGAUAGAUGUAGGUGGCCCUGACCCUCUCGCACCAUUUGAGCAAGCAUACAUUAUUCCUUGAUUUGCACAAGUUGUUCAUCAUUCAAUGUUACUUUUAUAUUAUAUGUUUUGCCUAUCAGCCCCCCACACAUAAAAUUUUGGUUCCGUCAUUGUAUCUAACUGUUAAAUUAAAAAAUCUAUGUUAUACUUAAAUAUAUUUUAGAAUUUUCACUUUUUUACAUAACUUUGAAAGAAUUUUUAUUCCAUGCAUCAACCUACAUUGCUCUUAAUAUAUUGAGAGUAUGAGUUCCCACAUUGAGAAUAUAAGAGACCUUAUAUGUGUUUAUAAGGAAUUAGGCUACAUUUGAUACUUUCAAGGAAUUUUUUUUGAAAUGUCAUAUGAACUUGUUCAUAUUUUCAAUUUGUUAUAUAAACUAAAUUUUAAGCAAUUUGUUAUACCAGCUUUACAAAAUCAUUAAUUUGUCAUCUCACCCCAACUCCCGUUAAGUUUUCCAUCCAAUAUAAGUCAAGUGCCUCACACAAGACUUUUGUUCGGGGUUAUUUCGGUCAUUUUAACAUCUUUUCACAAGUAUUUUACUUUUCUUUAGUACAAGCACUUAAAUUUUUUACUUUUCUUUAGCACAUAUGCAUCUACAACCCCAUUUAUGGCACAAAACGUCAACAUGUUUCUCAUUUAUAGAGCCCGUAUGAAAUUAUUUCUUAGUGACAUGCUAAAAUGCAAACUCCCACUUGUGUAUCAUUACAUAUUUGGAAUAACCAGAAGAUAGUACAUUGCGUGAUCAUUCAUUGCUAUCAUAUAAAUUUAAACACUUGUGUAUCAUUACAUAUUUAGAAUAACCAGAAGAUGUCAUUUUUUUAUAAGGAAACAUCAACGGUAUGAGAUAAUUCUUUUUACCUGAUUAUGUCAUAUUCUCAAAGGGUGCGGAGAAAGAAAUUGUUUGAUUAUGUCAUGAAUUCCCCAAUUCGGAUACUUAAUAUCUUCGUGGUAUUUAUGUAAAGAAACAAAUAAUGUUUGCAUACAUGAAGAAUAGUAAGGGUUGGUUUGGUAUUGUUAUGCUUUGAAAAAAAAACUUUUUCUGCUGUAAUGUAAAAAUAAGCUCACUUUUGUUACUUUACGUUUUCAGCUUUUUUUUUCACUCAAAACUGUGAAAAUAAGGUGUUUAUAAGUGUUUACCAAACACAUUUUUGAGCUUAGCUUUUUUUUAUACCCACUUUUUAUAAAAACAUCUCAGUACCAAACCAGUACUAAGAGAGAUUGUUGAGAGAAAGAGGAAGCUUGAAGAGGAAGAAAAGGUUAUAUAUAUUUUCAGUAGUGAAUUACAAAGAGUACAUUUGGUUAUAUAUCUGUUGUUUUAGUAACUAAGUCAACUCAACAACCGUAUAACAAUCUUAACAGCCUUAUAAUAGAUUCCCUAAUCUACUGACACAUGGCACUUUAUACAUCCAUUGAUCCUAUAUUGUUAUCAUCCCUCAUCAAGCUCAGGAAAGGAAGCACCAAGCCUGAGAUUGCAGCAAUGUGUAUGAAAAAAUGGUGUACACGAUUCUUUUGUCAAGAUAUCAUCAAACUGUUCAUUUGAUGAGACAAAUUGCAUACAUAAAAGUUGUUUAGUAACCCUUUACCUGACAAAGUGAACAUCAAUCUCUAUAUGCUUUGUCCUUUGAUGCAUGACUGGAUUACAUGUAAGAGCGAUGCCAUACAAGUUAUCACAGAACAAUGUAGAAGGAAUAGGCACUGGAAUCUGCAGAAAAACAAGUAAUUGUCUAAUCCAAUCAAUAUCAGUUGUUGUGGAGGCAAUGUAACAACCUGUCCCAUAAUUUACGGAACGAAUGGGCAUUUUUAUAAUGUCACUAAGUUUGGGAUAUUUAUUUUAAAAAUUGUUUUGGGUCUUAAUGUGUGUGCCUGUGGGGCCCACUUGUUUUGGUUUUGUUCUCCGUAGCCUUAGUCCAUCUCUCUCCUUUUUUUCUCCCUCAUCCCAUGUGAACUCAUCUCCCUCACCUCUGCCGGUUUUCCUUUACCUCUCUCAUUCUCGGUGCUCAUCUUCGACAGGAUCACACAUUACAUACACACGACAACCCCGAGGACUUCACCAGCACCCCUAACAUCUAGACCUCCUCCUUUCUCUCUCUCUUUCCCUUCGAUACAUCUCGGCACUAUACAGUCACAGUGCUUGUGACUCCGGCGAGUUUUCAAAUAUUCCGACUAAGGUAAGCACCAUAGACCUCUAUAGAUUAUGUUUUCAAGUAGAUUAAAAUGUUUUGAGACAUUUUGGGGUGGUAUAAAUGUAGAGAUAACUCGGGGGAUUAUAUUUCCAGUUUUCCAGCAAGGUUCUGUGGCUUGCAGGCCAUUUCCCGGCCGAUCCUGAUGUCAACUUCAUUCCAUUUUGGUACAACUCGAAUCCUUAUUCUCUUACCUUUGAUUUGGCCUUUUAAUGGUAGUUUUUGGUUAAGGUUUAACCCCGGAUCGAAGCCAGGGAAGUUUUCUCAGCGAAAACUCAAGAAAACCAGCGUUCUUCUCCGGUGACUCAAGCGGCUUGCGAGGCCCUUGUGCCAUGGAAACCCCCGGCCCUUUAAGGGUAGCCCAAACCCAAACCCCUUGAGUUGAGGCGCUUGGGCCAUUCAGCUAGGGCCUUCGGCCCAUUAACCUAAAACCCAAAACCCUUUUGGCAACCUAGGCCUUGGGUUGUGUAAGAAUCCCAGGCCCAAACCUCUUAAAGCUCAACCCUUUAAAAGCCUAACCCAAACCUUGGAAAGAAUCGGCCCAACCCAACUGAUGGAAUAUUCCUUUAGGGAAUAUUCCCCUGUUGACUUUUCUGAAAUUUAACCGGGACCCUUUUUAGCGUAAUUCGACGUCCUGAAUUCGUUUUUGAUGUCCAUUUUCCUAAAUUCAAUCAUUUGAAUAGAGUUUUAUUGAUUGGACCCUUUAUGUGCUUAGGUACAAUUAUUAACGGCGAUUCUAUCCAGCUUACUUCAUGCAGCUCUUCGACAACGGAGUAUCUGUGAAUGGACCCCUUCUAAAAUGCAUGUUUUAAUAGUAGAAAUGCAUACAUGAAAAGCAUGAUUUAAUAAUUACGUUUUAUGAAACGUUUUAUGAGAUAUUAUGCUUACUACGAAUAUUUUGAAUUAUCAUAUUUUAUCGAACUCAUGUUCUUUGUAGUAUAGAUGAUAGAUGACUUUAUACUGCUUAUGAACAUGCUUUUGCACACUUCUUUAUAGUAUAGAUGAUGGAUGACUUUAUACUAUGAAGAUGUUUUUGAGAUAUAUAUACCUAUGUUUGGAAAGUUUAUGUACAAUGGUUUUGUGCUUAUCUAGUGGUCACUAUACCGCCACAGGCAAGGAUUAUGGUUGUUGGCUGCGGGUCGAGAGAAAUAAUCUCUGGCUUCAGGCCGAGAGACAUGGAGCUGGCAUUGGGCCAAGAGAAAUAAUAUCUGGCUAUGAGCAUAGAGACAUAAAAGUUGGCAUUGGGCUAAGAGAUAUUAUUAUUGGAUACCACUAUUUAUCACACUAUAUACGAGAUAUGUUUUAUAAAAGAUUUUAUGGCAUGCUAGGGUUUUCGGAAAACCUAUUACAUAUUAUACUAUUGAGUUUUCAUAAAACUUUGGGGGUUAAUACGUUGAAUAACUGUUUCAAUAUUAUAUAUAUAUAUAUAUCAACUUGGUCCACUCAUGUUGUAUUACGCCCCCUCAGAACUUAGAUUCGAGGUGUACAAUCCUAGCGUCAGGGCACUCCCGCAUCAGCAUCUUCGAGUCCUCUCAGUGUAUGACUCACCUCUUGGUUCAUUCAAUUUCAUAUUAUUCCUUGUUAGUGUUUAGGAUUAGUUGUAUGCUCUGAACACAUUCCUCAUUUGCAUAAUCAUUGUAUUUAAAUUCAUAACUUUUAUUUACAUUCGAUGUUCUCAUGCAUCCUAAUAUGGCCUCAUCACCUUCGGGUGUUGGCCAGUACGUGCCUACCCUGGUCUUCAAGGAAUAUUGGGGUCGGGCGUGUCAAGCAAUGACUUUAUAUUCAGUCUCAAUAAAGAAUUGAGAAAUUGUGUUCUGUUUAUUGGAAGACCAAGAGAUAGUAGGAUUAUACCCCAAGAAAACUACAAGUCCAGUUGUUGACGUUCUGUCAUUAGGGUAUCUAGCCCAAUCAACAUCACUAAAUCCAUGUAAAUCUAAGACACCUUUAACAAAUUGAAUACCAUUGUUCUGUGUACCCUACAAAUACCUAAGUAUCCUUUUUACAGCGAGAAAGUGAGACUCCAUUGGACAAUGCAUGAACUGACAGACUAGAUGCAUUGAGAAUGCAAUAUUUGUUCUAGUAAAGGUAAGGUACUGAAGUGCCCCUACAAUACUUCUGUAUAAUUCAAGAUUGUUCCCAUCAUCUUUGAGCAAUAUGUUAUAUGACACAUUUCUGUUUUUGUAAGUAAAUCAGACACGAUCUUAGCUUGAGAAAGAAACAACCCCUCUUAAUUCUAAGUAAUCUAAAUGCCAAGAAAGUGUCCCCAAGUCUUUAAUAUCAAAUUCCUUAGUCAAGGCAGCAAUGACCAGGUUGCUAAGACUGUUAUAAGUUGUUGAGUAACAGAAAUAUCUUCAAUUGUUUUUUGUAAUGACCACACAACGAUUUUGCAUUGUAGGUAAAAAGCUCAAUUCAAUAAAUCAAAUAUUGUAACCAAUCACGUGACAUGACAAACAAUUAAUAUAUAGUUUGACUAAUUUAUAAUCACAUGACAUCUAAAAUUAUGCAUUAGUUUUAGAGAAAUUCCUCCAUAAAACUACUAAAUGUUGGGGCCACAUAUUUCCCCCAAAUUCAUGUGGACAAGCUAUUCAUGAUCCAGCUGGUUGAUGAAGUUGAGAGUAUGAACUUUAUACCGAAAAACUAAAGUCUCACUUCUUGGAUAUUUUUAUUCAUUGUUAAUCAAUUUUUAGUUGGAUGGCCACAUAAUAGUUUAGUUUGUAACAACUUAGCAAAUCUCGGCCCUUCAACAACUAGGAUAUUUUUUUCUUUCAGAAAAUAAAACAACUGAAGAGCAUCAAAUUAAUCUCUUCAUUUUGCAUUCUCCCUUCCGGUAGCGAUUCACAUGCCUUGCACUUAUGUUCUAGUUGUUUAUUCCUUGCUCAGUAGGAUAUUAAUGUAUUAUAAACUAGCUAGGGUAAUUCUAUUUGUACCCAUUGCACGUAAGAAAUCGAAAUCAAACCAACUUCAUGCAUGAAGCAUCGAUUUCAUGUACUCGUCAAGAGAUGGAAGGCACUGGUUGUCGUCGUAGCUGUACAUCAAUGGCACCAUUCUUGCGAGAUUUAGGGAAGCCUUUGUGAAUGCCGCGGGAAGUGGAUUAGGAGACACCAAUUCUUUGUUCAGCUUCUUCCAUUCUUCUGAAAUCAUAUUUGUAACAUGUUCUUGUGCUUCCUCCAUGGUCUUGCCUUGAUGUUCAUUUAAAUACAACUUUACAUAUGACCCGUCGUCCCCAUCUUGAUUCUCAUCCUACAAUCAGUACGACGAUAAGAAAAUCUGACGUGCUCUAUGUGCGUAUAUAUACAUGCAUGCUACAAAUUUUGAUGGACAAAUAUAUAUAUAGCUUUUCUGUGAUGGAGUCGGCCAAGACAUCGACCACACAUGAUAUAGAACCUCAUAAGCAGGGAUGAAUAGGCAUUUAGUUAGUAGGGUGCUUGAUAUAAAUGAUACUAUAAAUAUGUAGUUACCUUGGCACUUCCCAAGUCGUCCCAAAGCCGAAGAAUUGCUGCCGUUGAAGAUAUAAUGGCUGGAGUGCCAUUCAAGAACUCCACACUUUGAUUGGUUAUACCUUCACCCAACAGAAAGAAAAUGUGGACCAUCACCACAUUCACCCCAGAAGAAAUAAUUCCAUUCUUCAAGUACUCUUCAGCCCUAGGCAAGUGCCCAGAUUUGAACCAUUUUGCUUCCACUAAAAAUGCAUUGCACAGACUAGCCCACUGCACGCAAACAAAUAGAAUGAAUUAAGCUAUAAUUAAGCCUUUCUUAAUAUGCUAGUAUAUAAUUGUCACGACAUUAAUCCAGUUAGAUAGAUAUACUUAAUAAUAAGGCAAUACUACAGUUUACAUAUAUAUAUAUACCGUCUUCUUUAGCGAAUGCAACGAGUUCCAUCCGUGCCUUUGAUAGAUCUUACAGCUGAUUUCAUUCGUCAUAUCGUAAAGAGCCUUGAAGCAUAUCUUCAUGUAGUCCGGUAAGUGCUCUAUAGAACCAAUUUCCCAUCUGUAGCAUAACAAUGUUCUUGUCAGUUCACUGUGAAAAGUAGUGAAAUUAAUUAAGAAGUUACGGGAUGUUUUAAUUAUUGCUACCUAUUGACAACCUCCGUGAAAAGAGUGAGUUCAUCAAGCGUCCCGUAAACGUCAAAAAUGUCAUCAAUCAAAUAGAUAAAUGAGAUAGGUUUUGUGAGCUCAAUCCUCUCAUCUGACAAGUUUGGAUUUGUUAGGCAAGCCAUGGACCAAAUGUACCAUUUAAUAGGUUGGUCUCUUGCAAACUUCAACUCCUUACACAAUCCCAGCUCUUUCCACCAUCUAAUUAAGUUAAUUGAAACAAAUAAACAUUGAUUAGCAACUGGUUAAUUUAUUAAAUAUAGAGACAACAAUUGAAGAUUAAGGUGCUAUUUUCCAAUAAAGUUACUUACUUGGAAACUUGAGCAACUUCUUUCUGGUGAAGGGACUGGACCAUAUUUAAAUCUGUUUUUGCUACAGUUUGUAAUAUAUUUAGCCAUCUAUUAUUUGUUCCUUGGAAGCUAGAGAGACAAAAAAGUUCUUGGCCAUGAAUGGGGCCAAGCUUUUGUGAUGAGGAUUUCUCAAUGUGUUUCCAACAACUCUGGCCUGGUGAUGAUCGAGAUGUGACAGUGAUGAAUUUAGGAAAUGGCCACUAAACUUUCCAGCUUCUUCAAGUACAACUUCACCCUCUAUACUUAGCUGUGAAGCUUCAUACAAACUCAUCAACCCCUUGAUGUCUUCCCUUAACAUUUGAUUGAAAUUUCCUUCUCUGUUCUUGAAGUUGUUAAACACAUCUAUAUUCACACGAUAAACACACUAGUUAUCAAAAUAUCGAAAUUGUAUUGAGUCAAUUUACUGGUACCGAAUACCAAUCUAUAUUACUGAAUUAUAGUUAACACUCACCAUCAGAGACGAAGUAACCAUGCUGCCUGAGUAGUCGAAAGCGGAGAGCGACUUCAUGUAGGUCGGUGGGAUGGUGAGCACCAUGAGCAGUAGUACUAGAUAUUAUAUGUUGCUUUUGGAGAAUUUGGUCAAUUUCUUCUUCAAAGUGGUAGUCUAGACCUAGCCGUUGAACCGCAUCGAUCAUGUCCAAACUUUCAACUGCUUCUCCUCCCACUUUUAUCAAUGCAUGCCUUAAGUCGUCCAGUUUUUGUUCAUUCUGGAAACAAAUUAUGCCAUCCUGCGGACAAGGAAUUGAAGAGAGUCGAUUUUCAACCAUGUAUGUACAUGUGUGUGUGUGUGAGAGAGAGAGAGAGAGAGAGAGAGAGAGAGAGAGAGAGAGAGAGAGAGAGAGAGAGAGAUGAUUUUUCUUACCUUAGAUGAAGUAUACUUCGUUUUGGAGUUAAGCGGUUUUAAGGGAGUAGAAAGCAAACUGUUAUCUUCGGGGAUGCUCCAUUUUUGAGAACUAAGGUAUUCCGGAGCAGCUGGAGUAGAAGACGAGGUCGCAAAGGAGGACUGGGAAAUAGAAAAUUCCAUAUUUCUGUAUGUGUAAUCAACUCCCAGAGUAGUAGAAGGCGAAUAGAGAAAAUAAGAUGUUUUUCGCUCUUCUUGAUCUCUCAAUUUAUAAUCGCCAUGAAAAUCGAUUUUCGCUAUACUUCGAGAGCUAGCACACUAAUUUGCACGUUGAUUUAGAGUUUUUUUAUUCGCGCUUUUGUUUUUUUUUUGUUUUUUUUUUUUUGUUGAAAAAUCAAACGUACUAGUAAGGGUCCAAGAAAGAAUAAAAAGUGUACCAAACGUGAAAGUUGUGCUAUUCGGCAACUGGAAAGCGGAUUCCUAUUAUUAUGAAACAACUUUUGAUUCCUUAAUACCUAGGUACUUGUCACUAGUGAAUAUUUUAUGUACUCAUUGUAUUUAUUUGGCUUAAUAAAAAAAUAUCGCGUGGGUUUUGUUUUUCAAAAUAAAAUAAAAAUAAUAAUGAACAUGUCAUUAUUUUUUAAUCACUAAAACAGUAUACCCAAGUAUUAUCCAAGCAUGUCUCAAACCCUAUAAGGGCAUCAAUAUUGAUGGAAGCCUUCAAACACAUUUUCCCAUUAUUAGUGACCACAAAUAAAUAAAUGAAUAAUGCUCAGAUCUAGAACCUUUUGGUUCGGCAAACUUGUGCGGAUAUCAACUCUAUCUAUCUUUUCUCUAUGUUUUCAGGUAAAAAAUUUCGAACAAACCAGAAAGCCUUAAUGUCCUUGUGCAACAUUGCGUAGUUUAUUAUAGGGGUAUGAUAUUCACACACCCCAUUUUACUUCUCACAUAUCUUUUUAAUUUUCGGUCGUCGAAUCGGAUGAAUUGAAGAAGAUCAAUAGACAGAAAUUAUCAAGAGGUGUGUGAGAAGUAAAAUAAGGUGUGUGGAUAGCACAUUCCUUAUUAUAUAAUAUAUACUAUUUAGGGAACUCUUUUGGUUGAAUAUAAUUUAGUGAGUUCGACGGAAGCAAGUCAACAACACCUAAUUAUGACCAAACUAUUGUUUAUGACAUUUUUUUGUCACGUGUCAAUUGUCCUCUUGUAAAAAGAGUCUUGAAAGCAUUUUAUAUUUUGCCAAACAAAAAGAUUCAACAAAUAUUAGAUGGCAAGUGAAGUAAUUUUUGUAUACCAUUUUUCUCAUACAUUCUUUAUUUCAGUUUCUUAAAAUAUACAGUGUCUCGUGUUUCAUAUGAGUUCACAUUUGUGUGUGAGACAUUACAUUUUUUUUUCUUUCAUACUUUGUUUUAGUUUUUUAAAACAUACAGUGUCUUGUGUUUCAUAUGAGUUUACAUUUGUGUGUGAGACAUUACAUAUUUUUUAGACGACAUGUUACAUGUGCGAUAUAAUUGAUGUGUCGUGAAUUCAAGGAUAAUUUUUAAUAGAAAUAUUAGGAAAAUCCAAUUUUAGUUUACCACAUUGUCCCACGUCUCUUCAAUAAAAGUGUGAUCUCGUGGUGUACCCUAGCAUAAAUAUUUUCUUUUGGAACAAACGAUAUUGACUACAUUAAGGGGGAGA
rnacentral:lncRNA from 1 species